AUGCGUGGUCUGCAGCUGCCGCUCCUUCAAGUUGCCCUUCGCUGCUCAAAGGACCUCGAUCUCAUCCGCUGCGUCGGGGAUCUUGGGCAUGCGGUUUCCCCCACGGGCGGCGGGCAUGCUGUUUUCCCCGCGGGCAGCGACCUCAAAGUCUGCGACAUCGGCGGUUGGGGGCGCACCCCUCCUCGUCAUUCUCCAUCGCAAUCCCUCCACUCUUUCCUGUGCGGUGCAAACCAAUAG
rnacentral:rRNA from 1 species